rnacentral:lncRNA from 1 species
GAAACACAAACUGCUGAGAAUUGACAAAGCCGUGGGCCAGCUGGGCUCUGAAUCCCAAGGCAUAAUGGGGACACAAAGCUGGUAACAGAGCCAAUGUUACUACUUGAAUCAAGGGGAGAGAGGGAUCACCCCUCUAUCAAAGGGGAGUCUGAAAUACCUGCUUCAGCCGUUUCACGGGGCAGCACCUUCUAUGAAAGUAUGGCCCUGGAUCUAGGAAGAACAACCAAUAUCAUUACUUUCAUUGAUGACAAGGAGACCCCAGAGGGGCAGGAAUUGUGAACCACCAGUAUAAAACACGUUUCUGUACUGCAAGCCAGGUAUCACUGGAGUGGCCCCAAACUGCUUCACCACGGAGACAGGGGGCUCCUCAGAAGGAAAAGGGUUGAGUACACAAAGAGGGAAUGAAAAUGAAAGGUACCCUUUUACCCAAAAUUCAGCCUUAAAGUCAAAACUCUGAAGUCCAUGAAGACAUCUAAUGCUAAGAAUAAUAGCCACCAAGAAUCAAUAAUCAUAAUAUGAAUUGACUCCAGAGGAAUUUAAAAUAAUAGAACAGUCUGGGGGAAAAAAAAGACUUUAAAUAAGCAUAUUUAGGCUCUUCAAUGAGAAUAACGAAGGAAUAACAUUUGUGAAAAGAACAGACACUGAGAGUUGGGGAAGGUAGAAAUGUAACAAGAUGAGGUGGCUAUUAUAAAGUACCUUUUU